rnacentral:SRP_RNA from 1 species
GCCAGGCACGAUGGUGCUUGCCUGUAGUCCCAGCUACUUGGGAGGCUGAAGUGGGAGGAUCGCUUGAGCCCAGGAGUUCUGGGCUGUAGUGCGCUAUGCUGAUUGGGUGUCCACACUAAGUUCGGCAUCAAUAUGGUGACCUCCCAGGAGCAUGGGACCACCAAGUUGCCUAAGGAGGGGUGAACUAGCCCAGGUCGGAAACAGAGCAGGUCAAAGCUCCCAUGCUGAUCAGUAUUGGGAUCGCGCCUGUGAAUAGCCACUGUACUCCAGCCUGGGCAACAUAGCGAGACCCUGUCUCU